GACGAACGCUGGCGGCGUGCUUAACACAUGCAAGUCGAGCGGUAAGGCCCUUUCGGGGGUACACGAGCGGCGAACGGGUGAGUAACACGUGGGUGACCUGCCCUCAGCUCUGGGAUAAGCCUGGGAAACCGGGUCUAAUACUGGAUAUGACUCCAUGACGCAUGUUGUGGGGUGGGAAAGACCUUGUGCGGCUGAGGAGUGGCCCGCGGCCUAUCGGCUUGUUGGUGGGGUGGAGG
rnacentral:rRNA from 1 species